UGCCAGCCGCCGCGGUAAUACGGAGGGUGCAAGCGUUAAUCGGAAUUACUGGGCGUAAAGCGCGCGUAGGCGGAGUAUUAAGUCUCAUGUGAAAGCCCUGGGCUCAACCGUAGAACUGCCAUUGAUACUGUUAUUCUUGAAUAUAGUUGAGGUAGGCGGAAUGUGUAAUGUAGCGGUGAAAUGCUUAGAUAUUACACAGAACACCGAUUGCGAAGGCAGCUUGCUAAACUAUGAUUGACGCUGAUGCACGAAAGCGUGGGGAGCGAACAGGAUUAGAUA
rnacentral:rRNA from 1 species